rnacentral:rRNA from 1 species
CAAUAGCGUAUAUUAACGUUGUUGCAGUUAAAAAGCUCGUAGUUGGAUUUCUGGAGGGAGAGUCGGCCCGUAUUUACGAGUGCGUGACGUCUCUGUCCAUCCUUGCGGGAAGGCACGGCAUUGAUUUGUUGUGUCGGAUCGCAUCAUUUACUGUGAAAAAAUUAGAGUGUUCAAAGCAGGCUUUCGCUUGAAUACAUUAGCAUGGAAUAAUAAGAUAGGACUUUGGUGCUAUUUUGUUGGUUGAGCCUAAAGUAAUGAUUAAUAGGGAUAGUUGGGGGCACCUGUAUUGCGUUGUCAGAGGUGAAAUUCUUGGAUUUACGCAAGACAAACAGCUGCGAAAGCGUCUGCCAAGGAUGUUUUCAUUAA